rnacentral:rRNA from 1 species
GGGGAAUCUUGCGCAAUGGCCGAAAGGCUGACGCAGCGACGCCGCGUGGGGGAUGAAGGCCUUCGGGUCGUAAACCCCUGUUGCUCGGGACGAACAACUCCCUUUGGGGAGUCUGACGGUACCGGGGGAGGAAGCACCGUCUAACUCUGUGCCAGCAGCCGCGGUAAUACAGAGGGUGCGAGCGUUGUCCGGAAUCACUGGGCGUAAAGGGCGCGUAGGCGGCUUUUUAAGCGUGUCGUGAAAGCGCGGGGCUCAACCCCGCGUCGGCGAUGCGAACUGGGAAGCUGGAGCACGUCAGAGGCAGGCGGAAUUCCGGGUGUAGCGGUGGAAUGCGUAGAGAUCCGGAAGAACACCGGUGGCGAAGGCGGCCUGCUGGGACGUGGCUGACGCUGAGGCGCGACAGCGUGGGGAGCAAAC